rnacentral:misc_RNA from 1 species
GAGAGCUCCAUUUGAUCUUUUUGAUACCAAGAAAAAGCCUAAUAACAUCAAGCUUUAUGUCCGCCGUGUCUUCAUCAUGGAUAACUGCGAAGAACUGAUCCCGGAGUACCUUAGCUUUGUCAAGGGUAUUGUCGACUCUGAGGACCUCCCUCUCAACAUUUCCAGGGAGACGCUUCAGCAGAACAAGAUCCUCAAGGUUAUCCGUAAGAACUUGGUCAAGAAGUGCAUUGAGCUCUUCU